rnacentral:rRNA from 1 species
UACAUAGGGGGCAAGCGUUGUUCGGAAUUACUGGGCGUAAAGGGCGCGUAGGCGGCCUGCUAAGUCGAACGUGAAAUCCCUGGGCUCAACCCAGGAACUGCGUCCGAUACUGGUUGGCUUGAAUCCGGGAGAGGGACGUGGAAUUCCAGGUGUAGCGGUGAAAUGCGUAGAUAUCUGGAGGAACACCGGUGGCGAAGGCGACGUCCUGGACCGGCAGUGACGCUGAGGCGCGAAAGCCAGGGGAGCAAACGGG